AUUGAACGCUGGCGGCAUGCUUUACACAUGCAAGUCGGACGGCAGCACAGAGAAGCUUGCUUCUUGGGUGGCGAGUGGCGAACGGGUGAGUAACAUAUCGGCACGUACCGAGCAGUGGGGGAUAACUAAUCGAAAGAUUAGCUAAUACCGCAUAUCUUCUGAGGAAGAAAGCAUGGGACCAUUUGGCCUUGCGCUGUUUGAGCGGCCGAUAUCUGAUUAGCUAGUUGGUGGGGUAAAGGCCUACCAAGGCGACGAUCAGUAGCGGGUCUGAGAGGAUGAUCCGCCACACUGGGACUGAGACACGGCCCAGACUCCUACGGGAGGCAGCAGUGGGGAAUUUUGGACAAAGGGCGCAAGCCUGAUCCAGCCAUGCCGCGUGUCUGAAGAAGGCCUUCGGGUUGUAAAGGACUUUUGUCAGGGAAGAAAAGGGCGGGGUUAAUACCCCUGUCUGAUGACGGUACCUGAAGAAUAAGCACCGGCUAACUACGUG
rnacentral:rRNA from 1 species